rnacentral:rRNA from 1 species
UACAGAGGUCUCAAGCGUUGUUCGGAUUCAUUGGGCGUAAAGGGCGCGUAGGCGGCGGGGUAAGUCGGGUGUGAAAUCUCAGAGCUCAACUCUGAAACUGCACUCGAUACUGCUCUGCUUGAGGACUGGAGAGGAGACUGGAAUUCACGGUGUAGCAGUGAAAUGCGUAGAUAUCGUGAGGAAGACCAGUGACGAAGGCGGGUCUCUGGGACAGUUCCUGACGCUGAGGCGCGAAGGCCAGGGGAGCCAAAGCGGG